CCUGGGAUGGCUCAGUUGGUAGAGCACAAGAUUCUCAAUCUCAGGACUGUGGGUUCAAGCCAGAUGUUUGGCA